UACGUAGGGUGCGAGCGUUGUCCGGAAUUAUUGGGCGUAAAGAGCUCGUAGGCGGUGUGUCGCGUCGGCCGUGAAAACCUGGGGCUUAACUCUGGGCGUGCGGUCGAUACGGGCAUCACUAGAGUUCGGCAGGGGAGACUGGAAUUCCUGGUGUAGCGGUGAAAUGCGCAGAUAUCAGGAGGAACACCGGUGGCGAAGGCGGGUCUCUGGGCUGACACUGACGCUCAUGCACGAAAGCGUGGGGAGAAACAGG
rnacentral:rRNA from 1 species